rnacentral:rRNA from 1 species
ACAUGCCUACAUCAUAGUGUUAAUGCAUUGGAUCCCAUUACAAAUCUAUAGUUAAGCGCGCUCAAGAUAGAGUAGUACUGGGAUGGGUGACCACCCAUGAAGUCCUAUAGUUUUACAUGCC